rnacentral:lncRNA from 1 species
CAAUCUUCCAAAGCAUCCCGCCACCUGAGGACCAAGUAGUCAAACACAUGAGCCUGUGGGGGCAUUUCAUACUCAAACGACAACCCUAUAACCCCAGUAGUUGGGAGACUGAUGGAAAACAGUCACAAACUCAAGACCAGUCUAGACUACACAGUGAGAUUUUCUCUCAAACCACUGUCUUGGGAUUUUACUGCUAUGAACAGGCACCAUGACCGUGACAAGUCUUAUAAGGGACAAUGUUUAAUUGGGGCUGCCUUACAGGCUCAGAGGUUCAGUCCAUUAUCAUCAAGGCAGGAGCAAGGCAGCAUCCAGGCAGGCCUGGUGCAGGAGGAGCUGAGAGCUCUACAUCUUCAUCUGAGGCUGCUAGUGGAAGACUGACUUCCAGGCUGCUAGGGUGAGGGUCUUAAGGCCACGCCCACAGUGACACACCCACUCCAACAAGGCCACACCUCCUAAUAGUGCCAGUUCCUGGCCAAUAGUAUACAAACCAUAGCAACGACUAAACAAAGAUAAA